UCAAUUUGAUAUUGGCGACAAUACAGUAAUACCAACUAUUUGAAAAGAGAAUAAUAUUGGUAACCAUGGAUUUCGAGUUUUGUUCGCGAAACAAUUAAAUAUGCGAGAAAAGAAAUAUGUUAAAACAAAUAAAAAACAGGUUUAAUCGAUAAUAUAUUUCAAAGGACAUUGAUAUUUAAAUUUAUAAACAUGUAACAUCAUCGUUCAAGUUCAGUAUAUAAACCUAGCAUAAAAACCAUUGAUAAAUAAAGGAAAAGUGAAAAAGAAAAAAGCAUCGAAACAAAUACGCAAAUAUUGUUGAUUGUGUCAAGCCAUGAGAAUGACGUCUCGUGGAAUAAUAAUUUUAGGAAUAAAAAUGAAAAGAAAAAAGGAAGAAAAAAGAGAUCAUUUCGGUAUAAUUGGUUUACUCAAAAUCGUUUCUAUGCGGAAGCUGCUGAUGUUUGGAUAGAAAGAUCGUGAAGACCGUUAACAUAAAUAGUUUAUGAUACUACUCGUUCGCUGCUGCAGUCUGGCGAGCAGAAGAGUCGGCAAUGAUGAUGAUCACGUGCUCAUCGCAAAACUUUAGACCAAUAAAAAUGCAAGAAAUAAAAAAAUAAUUUUUUAGGUGAAUAAAUAAUUUAGAAAAUAAAGAUGGCGUUGAUGAUUCUUACAACACAACGACUGACGAGGAU